rnacentral:rRNA from 1 species
GACGAACGCUGGCGGCGUGCUUAACACAUGCAAGUCGAACGGAAAGGCCCUGCUUUUGUGGGGUGCUCGAGUGGCGAACGGGUGAGUAACACGUGAGUAACCUGCCCUUGACUUUGGGAUAACUUCAGGAAACUGGGGCUAAUACCGGAUAGGAGCUCCUGCUGCAUGGUGGGGGUUGGAAAGUUUCGGCGGUUGGGGAUGGACUCGCGGCUUAUCAGCUUGUUGGUGGGGUAGUGGCUUACCAAGGCUUUGACGGGUAGCCGGCCUGAGAGGGUGACCGGCCACAUUGGGACUGAGAUACGGCCCAGACUCCAACGGGAGGCAGCAGUGGAGAAUAUUGCAGAAUGGGCGGAAGCCUGAUGCAGCAACGCCGCGUGCGGGAUGACGGCCUUCGGGUUGUAAACCGCUUUCGCCUGUGACGAAGCGUGAUUGACGGUAAUGGGUAAAGAAGCACCGGCUAACUACGUG